AUGCUUAACCAGAAGGGAAGAUACAAUGAUCUCGAAGGUGGAUUUCCCAGAGUGAGGCUAACCCAUUGCACUGGGCAUCUGCUGAACAAAGUGCUUUCCCCAUAUGGGGGAUCUCUGCAAGACUCAAGUGCAUCUUUGGUGGGGAGGGACUGGCACAACCAACACCCUCG
rnacentral:snRNA from 1 species